UUAAGCGACCAAGCGUACACGGUGGAUGCCCUGGCAGUCAGAGGCGAUGAAGGACGUGCUAAUCUGCGAAAAGCGCCGGUAAGGUGAUAUGAACCGUUAUAACCGGCGAUGUCCGAAUGGGGAAACCCAGUGUGACUCGUCACACUAUCAUUAACUGAAUCCAUAGGUUAAUGAGGCGAACCGGGGGAACUGAAACAUCUAAGUACCCCGAGGAAAAGAAAUCAACCGAGAUUCCCCCAGUAGCGGCGAGCGAACGGGGAGGAGCCCAGAGCCUGAAUCAGCAUGUGUGUUAGUGGAAGCGUCUGGAAAGGCGCGCGAUACAGGGUGACAGCCCCGUACACAAAAGCGCACGUGCUGUGAGCUCGAUGAGUAGGGCGGGACACGUGGUAUCCUGUCUGAAUAUGGGGGGACCAUCCUCCAAGGCUAAAUACUCCUGACUGACCGAUAGUGAACCAGUACCGUGAGGGAAAGGCGAAAAGAACCCCGGCGAGGGGAGUGAAACAGAACCUGAAACCGUGUACGUACAAGCAGUGGGAGCCCCACCACUAAGCCAGUGGUGAACUCCACAUACGCAUCCUUUGCUGAGGAUGUGGUUAACGGAGCGAAAGCGACGUUUAACCGCAAAAGAAGCAGAGGGGGCUUAGUGGUGGGGUGACUGCGUACCUUUUGUAUAAUGGGUCAGCGACUUAUAUUCUGUAGCAAGGUUAACCGCAUAGGGGAGCCGGAGGGAAACCGAGUCUUAAUUGGGCGUUAAGUUGCAGGGUAUAGACCCGAAACCCGGUGAUCUAGCCAUGGGCAGGUUGAAGGUUGGGUAACACUAACUGGAGGACCGAACCGACUAAUGUUGAAAAAUUAGCGGAUGACCUGUGGCUGGGGGUGAAAGGCCAAUCAAACCGGGAGAUAGCUGGUUCUCCCCGAAAGCUAUUUAGGUAGCGCCUCGUGAAUUCAUCUCCGGGGGUAGAGCACUGUUUCGGCCAGGGGGCCAUCCCGGCUUACCAAUCCGAUGCAAACUGCGAAUACCGGAGAAUGUUAUCACGGGAGACACACGGCGGGUGCUAACGUCCGUCGUGAAGAGGGAAACAACCCAGACCGCCAGCUAAGGUCCCAAAGUCAUGGUUAAGUGGGAAACGAUGUGGGAAGGCCCAGACAGCCAGGAUGUUGGCUUAGAAGCAGCCAUCAUUUAAAGAAAGCGUAAUAGCUCACUGGUCGAGUCGGCCUGCGCGGAAGAUGUAACGGGGCUAAACCAUGCACCGAAGCUGCGGCAGCGAACGUAUCACCCAAGACAACUUUGCACAGUUGACGACUGACGGAGCGAAGCGACGUCAAAGCGUUUUACAACGUCGAGUUGGCUUAGGGAUACGUUCGUUGGGUAGGGGAGCGUUCUGUAAGCCGUUGAAGGUGGCCUGUGAGGGUUGCUGGAGGUAUCAGAAGUGCGAAUGCUGACAUAAGUAACGAUAAAGCGGGUGAAAAGCCCGCUCGCCGGAAGACCAAGGGUUCCUGUCCAACGUUAAUCGGGGCAGGGUGAGUCGACCCCUAAGGCGAGGCCGAAAGGCGUAGUCGAUGGGAAACGGGUUAAUAUUCCCGUACUUGGUGUUACUGCGAAGGGGGGACGGAGAAGGCUAUGUUGGCCGGGCGACGGUUGUCCCGGUUUAAGCGUGCAGGUGUGUGUUCCAGGUAAAUCCGGUUCACUUUAACACUGAGGCGUGACGACGAGGCACCACGGUGCUGAAGCAACAAAUGCCCUGCUUCCAGGAAAAGCCUCUAAGCCUCAGGUAACAUCAAAUCGUACCCCAAACCGACACAGGUGGUCAGGUAGAGAAUACCAAGGCGCUUGAGAGAACUCGGGUGAAGGAACUAGGCAAAAUGGUGCCGUAACUUCGGGAGAAGGCACGCUGACACGUAGGUGAAGUGGUUUACCCAUGGAGCUGAAGUCAGUCGAAGAUACCAGCUGGCUGCAACUGUUUAUUAAAAACACAGCACUGUGCAAACACGAAAGUGGACGUAUACGGUGUGACGCCUGCCCGGUGCCGGAAGGUUAAUUGAUGGGGUCAGCGCAAGCGAAGCUCCUGAUCGAAGCCCCGGUAAACGGCGGCCGUAACUAUAACGGUCCUAAGGUAGCGAAAUUCCUUGUCGGGUAAGUUCCGACCUGCACGAAUGGCGUAAUGAUGGCCAGGCUGUCUCCACCCGGGACUCAGUGAAAUUGAACUCGCUGUGAAGAUGCAGUGUACCCGCGGCAAGACGGAAAGACCCCGUGAACCUUUACUAUAGCUUGACACUGAACACUGGUCCUUGAUGUGCAGGAUAGGUGGGAGGCUUUGAAGUGUGGACGCCAGUCUGCAUGGAGCUAUCCUUGAAAUACCACCCUUUAAUGGCUGGUGUUCUAACGUGGGCCCCUGACCGGGGUUGCGGACAGUGUCUGGUGGGUAGUUUGACUGGGGCGGUCUCCUCCUAAAGAGUAACGGAGGAGCACGAAGGUUGGCUAAUCCUGGUCGGACAUCAGGAGGUUAGUGCAAUGGCAUAAGCCAGCUUGACUGCGAGCGUGACGGCGCGAGCAGGUGCGAAAGCAGGUCAUAGUGAUCCGGUGGUUCUGAAUGGAAGGGCCAUCGCUCAACGGAUAAAAGGUACUCCGGGGAUAACAGGCUGAUACCGCCCAAGAGUUCAUAUCGACGGCGGUGUUUGGCACCUCGAUGUCGGCUCAUCACAUCCUGGGGCUGAAGUAGGUCCCAAGGGUAUGGCUGUUCGCCAUUUAAAGUGGUACGCGAGCUGGGUUUAGAACGUCGUGAGACAGUUCGGUCCCUAUCUGCCGUGGGCGCUGGAAGAUUGAGGGGGGCUGCUCCUAGUACGAGAGGACCGGAGUGGACGCAUCACUGGUGUUCGGGUUGUCAUGCCAAUGGCACUGCCCGGUAGCUACAUGCGGAAGAGAUAAGUGCUGAAAGCAUCUAAGCACGAAACUUGCCCCGAGAUGAAUCUUCCCUGAGCCUUUAAGGCUCCUGAAGGAACGUUGAAGACGACGACGUUGAUAGGCCGGGUGUGUAAGCGCAGCGAUGCGUUGAGCUAACCGGUACUAAUGAACCGUGAGGCUUAACCUU
rnacentral:rRNA from 1 species